GAGUGAGUCGAGAGCAGCCAUAUCGUUGGGACAAAAGGAGUUGAUAAUUUGUGUUUUUAAAUCGGCGAAAUCCUCAGUCUUAGAGUCUUAUAUAAGUUAAAAGUGCUGUAAGACAGAAUUGUUUCCCGACGUUUUCGAUAAAGAUGUCACUUCAUACCGACACUCGUAUAUCGGCUUAUCCUGGUCAACAAGCGUUUAUUUCACAGCAUGAAAGUAUUCCAUGCCUCGUUGCAAAGAUCAGAUAGAAUGCGGGAGUGACAUGCGUGUGAGUACCGUUUUUC